rnacentral:lncRNA from 1 species
GAUUUUUGUAUCCAUGCUUCUUGACCUCCAAUUGAUCUAAAAUUUUGCAUGAACCUACUCUUGUAUGUCUAGUUUGCACAUGAUUUUUUGUGGAAUUAUUUGUGCCAUUUUCCAUUUGUUUGAGAUUUUCUCCCCUGUUUGACCAAAAUGUUGACCUUAUGUGAUACAUGUUGCCAUUUGUUUUGUGAAAUGCUCAUACUUUAUUAGAUGGACAUGAAAUUUUACAUGAGAUAACUAGACAUCCUCAUCUUUGCC